UACGGAGGGUGCAAGCGUUAAUCGGAAUUACUGGGCGUAAAGCGUGCGUAGGUGGUUUGUUAAGUCCGUUGUGAAAGCCCCGAGCUCAACUUGGGAAUUGCAGUGGAUACUGGCAAGCUGGAGUGCGGUAGAGGAAGGUGGAAUUCCCGGUGUAGCGGUGAAAUGCGUAGAGAUCGGGAGGAACACCAGUGGCGAAGGCGGCUACCUGGACCAGCACUGACACUGAGGCACGAAAGCGUGGGGAGCAAACAGG
rnacentral:rRNA from 1 species